CCGGCGACCGGCGCACGGGUCGAGUAACACGUAUGGCAACCUGGCCGUCACAGGGGGAUAACCGGUAGAAAUGCCGCCUAAUACCCCAUGACACCCUUUAGGGACAUCCCUGGGGGGUCAAAGGGAGCGAUCCCGGUGGUGGAUGGGCAUGCGGCGCAUUAGCUAGUCGGCGGGGUAACGGCCCACCGAGGCGACGAUGCGUAGGGGUUCUGAGAGGAAGGUCCCCCACAUUGGAACUGAGACACGGUCCAAACUCCUACGGAAGGCAGCAG
rnacentral:rRNA from 1 species